GAUGAACGCUAGCGGCAGGCCUAACACAUGCAAGUCGAGGGAGAAGCCCUUUCGGGGGCAGAAACCGGCGCACGGGUGCGUAACGCGUAUGCAACCUACCUUUCACACGGGGAUAGCCCGAAGAAAUUUGGAUUAAUACCCCAUAAUAUUAUUGGAUGGCAUCAUUUGAUAAUUAAAACUGCGGUGGUGAAAGAUGGGCAUGCGUCCUAUUAGCUAGUUGGAGUGGUAACGGCACCCCAAGGCUACGAUAGGUAGGGGUCCUGAGAGGGAGAUCCCCCACACUGGUACUGAGACAGGGACCAGACUCCUACGGGAGGCAGCGGUGAGGAAUAUUGGUCAAUGGUCGGAAGACUGAACCAGCCAUGCCGCGUGCAGGAAGAAUGCCUUAUGGGUUGUAAACUGCUUUUAUAUGGGAAGAAUAAGGCGUACGUGUACGUUGAUGACGGUACCAUAUGAAUAAGCAUCGGCUAACUCCGUG
rnacentral:rRNA from 1 species